rnacentral:rRNA from 1 species
UGGUGGAGCGAUUUGUCUGGUUAAUUCCGAUAACGAACGGGACUCUAGCCUACUAAAUAGUACAGAGAUCAUCUCGUCUCUGCUACUUCUUAGAGGGACUGACGGCGUUUAGCCGUACGAAAUUGAGCAAUAACA